AUAUCAAUAAGCGGAGGAAAAAGAAACUAACAAGGAAUUCCCCUAGUAACUGCGAGUGAAGCGGGAAAAGCUCAAAUUUGAAAUCUGGCAGUUUUUUGGACUGUCCGACUUGUAGUCUAGAGAAGUGUUACCUGUGCUGGACCAUGUAAAAGUCUUCUGGAAUGGAGCAUCAUAGAGGGUGAGAAUCCCGUCUUUGACAUGGACUACCUGUACAUUAUGGUAUGCUCUCGAAAGAGUCGAGUUGUUUGGGAAUGCAGCUCAAAAUGGGUGGUAAAUGCCAUCUAAAGCUAAAUAUUGGCGAGAGACCGAUAGCGAACAAGUACCGUGAGGGAAAGAUGAAAAGUACUUUGGAAAGAGAGUUAAACAGUAUGUGAAAUUGCUGAAAGGGAAACGCUUGAAGUCAGUCAUGUUGGCUAGAAAUCAGCCCUUGCUUUUGCUUGGUGUAUUUUCUGGUUGAUGGGUCAGCAUCAAUUUUGACCAUUGGAUAAAGUCAUUGGGAAUGUGGCAUCUUUGGAUGUGUUAUAGCCCAUUGUUGUAUACGGUGGUUGGGAUUGAGGAACUCAGCACGCCUCUCAAGGGGGGCAGGGUCAUUGACCACAUUCGUGCUUAGGAUGCUGGCAUAAUGGCUUUAAUCGACCCGUCUUGAAACACGGACCAAGGAGUCUAACAUGCCUGCGAGUGUUUGGGUGGAAAACCCAUACGCGCAAUGAAAGUGAAAGUUGAGAUCCCUGUAGAGGGGAGCAUUGACGCCCGGACCAGACCUUUUGUGACGGAUCCGCGGUAAAGCAUGUGUGUUGGGACCCGAAAGAUGGUGAACUAUGCCUGAAUAGGGUGAAGCCAGAGGAAACUCUGGUGGAGGCUCGUAGCGAUUCUGACGUGCAAAUCGAUCGUCAAAUUUGGGUAUAGGGGCGAAAGACUAAUCGAAACCC
rnacentral:rRNA from 1 species